rnacentral:rRNA from 1 species
CGAAAAGGGCGUUUGGUGGAUGCCUUGGCAGUAAGAGGCGAUGAAAGACGUGAUACUCUGCGAUAAGUCAUGGGGAGCUGAGAAUAAGCUUUGAUCCAUGAAUUUCUGAAUGGGGCAACCCACCUGAUACUUUGUUAUUAUUACCCUUCGGGGUGAUUAAUAAUGAGGUAAACCAGGUAUUUUUAACCUGAAUACAUAGGGUUAAAAAAGCAAACCCGGGGAACUGAAACAUCUAAGUACCCGGAGGAAAGGACAUCAAUUGAUACUCCCCUAGUAGCGGCGAGCGAACGGGGACCAGCCGAGCCUUGAGCGUGACUAGAAUGUGCUGGAAAGCACAGCCAUAGCGGGUGACAGCCCCGUAUAGGAAGCGUGAUGGGACGUAUUAAGUAGGGCGGGACACGUGAAAUCCUGUCUGAACAUCGGAGGACCACCUUCGAAGGCUAAGUACUCCU